GGCGGCUCAGCGGUGUUAGGGCCAAUAAGUGUCCGUUUUCAGUUCCAUAGUUUGGGCACUGAACACCGCUGGCUGUUCGGGAGGUAAAAUGGCCGCUGCCACGCGUUCGGAAGACGAACAAAGGCCACCCAGCGUUCAUCGAUUAAGCUGCGGUUAACCACAGCUUCUGGGCGGUCAAUUGACGGCACACUCCAGUUCCCAGGUGGUCCAUUGCUCGGUAGUUUGUUCGGUAGAUUGAAU
rnacentral:lncRNA from 1 species